UACGGGGGAUGCAAGCGUUAUCCGGAAUUAUUGGGCGUAAAGGGUUGGAAGGUUGUCUAAGAUGGUAAUUUUUUACCACGCAAAGUCUGCUGUUAAAUACUGGGGCUUAACCCCAGGCAAGCAGCAGAAACUACUAGACUCGAGUAUGGUAGGGGUAGAGGGAAUUUCUAGUGAAGCGGUGAAAUGUGUUGAUAUUAGAAGGAACACCAGCGGCGAAGGCGCUCUACUGGACCAUGACUGACACUAAUCAACGAGAGCUAGGGGAGCAAAAGGG
rnacentral:rRNA from 1 species